ensembl:lncRNA
GCACGUACAGCCUGACAAAUAAUUAACUGCACUUAAAGCGUUCAUAAAAAAAUUAAAUAAAAAUACCCAAAACUGUAUACAGUACCAUAACGAAGACGAACUGUAUGUUGAUAUGUGAAAUUCUGGAUAGACGUCGGACGGCGUGGCGCAGUGACGUAAUGACGCGGGCUGUUAAUCUAAUUAUGUUCUAAAACAUGUAAAACGGGCACAAGAAAGGAGUAUUCUAAAAGUGACUCAUGUAAACACCAUAAUCACAUUAUUAUCUUAAUCAGAUGUGAAAAGACGGAUCUCAGCAUCAUAUAGUUGCUGUUGGAAAGGGGUCACAUAUGCAGAAGAUGCCGGAAAAGAAAAGAAUGUGCAGGACCUGGAGGAUUUUUCUGAAGAACAGUUACUUGAUGCUCGGUCUUGUUGUGUUGCUGGUCGUUAUGGAGAGCUUCUGGAAGCUUCAGCAAGUGCAGGCCUUGGUGCAUCUCUUUGUUGGGUCUACAGCAGCGUCACUAAAAGAAGAUGAUCUUGAGGAGCUAGUGCUAGGUGAAUGGCCAGACAGCCAUGAUAUUCCAACAGCGGCUGUUCAGUUUAGACCCCCUAUCUCCAUCAUCUCACAUCGCAUGUCUGAUUCACCAGCAUUCCCUUUUGUGGAGGAUGCAUGUACAUCAUUUACAGCAAAAGCGGCAACUUAUAAGAAGACCGUGUGUCCGCAACAUCAGCCAGACACUGAUCCAGACCCAGCUGAUCAAAACAACUGAUUACCAAAAUCAAAUGUCUUUAAACACGGUCACUAAAUUUAUAUUCACAAGAAAGAAGUGACAGAGCAAAUGUUUCUCGUUCCAGGGUUUUCAACCAAAGCCUUCCUGAUGCGCCACUGACACUUUGAUCAUCUCAAGGAUUUAUUUGAAUUGAAAAAUGUUGCACAGUGUUGCCAGUGUUUGAGAUUAUACAGGAAUUUCCUGUAUAAGGAAUUUUUCCUGGAAUUAAUUUUGUCUGCAUCAAGAUCAGUUCCCCAAAUUGUUAAAGAAAAUACUUUUCUUUGUACUUUAUUUUCCAUUUAUAGUUUCAAUCCCAUUAUGAGCACAAACAAUAGAGACCUUGACUAUGCGCUUCAAUACAUUAAUGUUAAAUUAACUGCAUUUUAUACAGAUGUUCAGAGUAAACUUGUAACAUGUUCCAGUAUUUUCUUUUAGUGUUUAGAGAAGUUCUGUAGUUAGUCAUUUCAGAACUUUGUCUUUGUGCUUAAGGCUGUAAGAGUUUAACUCCAGUACAUUAGAGGCAGCAAUGUGGCAUGAUUUAUUUUCUAUCCAACAAUCACUAAACAAUUGGUACAAAAUUGGUAGGCAGUUAAAGGCCCAAGCAAUGACGGGUUGUGAGACACCAAAACCACCUUAGCAAGCUUAGAAGCUUAGAGUGAAUAACAAUGGUUUAUAACAGCGGUUUAUACAAAGCUCAUAGACUCUGUGGUUUAUAAAAGCAGCAACACUCUAGCAAGUGUAUCAUUAGUUCAUUGUCAUUUUGCAGAGCCCUGCUGCACCAUGUUGUUUUCCCUGUAAUGGACUAAAACUCACUUUAAAACUCUUUAAAUAAAGAAAUUUAUGUGUUUUGCUGUACCAUUGUAAAGUAUGCCAUUUUUUCACCUUUUUAUUCCAUAAUGUUUUUUUCCCUGA